rnacentral:rRNA from 1 species
AUACGGAGGGUGCAAGCGUUACUGGGAAUCACUGGGCGUAAAGCGCGCGCAGGCGGCUAUUUAAGUUGGAUGUGAAAGCCUAUGGCUCAACCAUAGAACUGCAUCCAAAACUAUUUAGCUAGAGUGUGGGAGAGGAAGAUGGAAUUAGUUGUGUAGGGGUAAAAUCCGUAGAGAUAACUAGGAAUACCAAAAGCGAAGGCAAUCUUCUGGAACACUACUGACGCUGAGGCGCGAAAGCGUGGGGAGCAAACAGGAUUAGAUACCCUAGUAGUCC